GAGACUGUGCUUUUAGGGAUCAUUUUUCUAGUUCCUUCUGGAGAAGUUCUGAAUAUAGAGAGCACUAGAAGCCAAGAGGAAAACACACAAUGUCUCCUGGCUCUUGGUGUUGUUUUGCUGCAACUGCCUUUUGCCUUGAUGACUGCUCUUUGCAUCCUUAGGGAAAUCGAGAGAUGUUGUAAAUCAAA
rnacentral:snoRNA from 1 species